rnacentral:lncRNA from 1 species
UUUUUUUUUUUUGUCUAUUGUGGAAUGAAAUAGAUAAUUCAAGAAUUUAUUUUAUGAAUUAAAGGUUCUUGUUGAACAAUCUCUUAGUGUUUUUUUUUUUUUUUGUCUAUUGUGGAAUGAAAUAGAUAAUUCAAGAAUUUAUUUUAUGAAUUAAAGGUUCUUGUUGAACAAUCUCUUAGUGAAAAGCUUUACUAUACAUACACUUUUUU